GGGACUACAGGGGUUUCUAAUCCUGUUUGCUACCCACGCUUUCGAACCUCAGCGUCAGAUAUGGCCCAGAAAAUCGCCUUCGCCACCGAUGUUCUUCCCAAUAUCUACGAAUUUCACCUCUACACUAGGAAUUCCAUUUUCCUCUACCAAUCUCAAGUAAGUCAGUUUUGAUGGCAGUUCCGGAGUUGAGCUCCGGGCUUUCACCACCAACUUGACUAACCGCCUACGCUCGCUUUACGCCCAGUAAUUCCGAGCAACGCUUGCCCCCUCCGUAUUACCGCGGCUGCUGGCACGGAGUUAGCCGGAGCUUCUUAUACAGGUACCGUCAUUAUCUUCCCUGUCGAAAGAGUUUUACAACCCUAAGGCCUUCUUCACUCACGCGGCAUGGCUGGAUCAGGCU
rnacentral:misc_RNA from 1 species